CUUUGAUAUUCACGGCUGCUGGAGUCUUCAGAAAAUUCCAAAACUUCCAUCAUGUAUACAUACUGUAUUUAUAACAAGAUGCAAUUCGCUGGAUUCACAAUCUAGAAUAAGAUUAUUGAGUCAGUUUGAAGAAAAGGUUGGGCUUCCACGGAAUAUUGUAUGUUCAAGGGGAUUAUCGCUUCAAGACUACCCAUCUGAAACAGACUGUCUCAUUUAAACUUGAUGGUGGUGGAUACAAGCUUGUACUUCCAGGAACUAAAAUUCCAAUUUAUUUCAACCAUAGAAGUGUUGGAAGUUCCGUAUCAUUCUCGACUGAUCAGAAAUCUCUAACAUUUGCUUGCUGUAUUGCUUUAAAAGUGGAAGUGAAGGAUACUGUGCUAAGAAAUCAAAUUUGAUGGGGCAAGGAGGUGCUGAGGCAACCAUGAUCAUCCAUCAUGCAUUUCAGAGAAUAAGCCAAAGCAGAGUAAUAGCCAAAGGCAUACCUAAAAUUGCCACCACCACAAUUGUGACUAAUGGAGAGACAACACCAACAGGUGCGUUGAAAUAUGUUGGUGCUGAAAAUCCCUAAUUAUGUCCACCACAAUGUCUCUACUUUUCAAAUUUCAUGGAUUUCUUGAAGUUAUGGACAGCAAAACAUCAACAAUCAGAAUGUCAGCAACAAUAAUACUCCCACCAUGACACUACCCAUCUUUCUAGCCAUGCUGUUCGAUACCAAAGGCCAAGAGAGUAUGGAGACUUUCAAAGACAUAACAGGGGUGUCCUAAUCUGCUUUAAAGAGAUAACUGUAAAAGCCUUUUGCAGGUGCCUUUUCAUACUGAUUGGCACCGACAUAAUAUUAUGGCAAUAGAUUAUGGUUGAAAUUUUGCUAAA